rnacentral:rRNA from 1 species
UCCAGACUCCUACGGGAGGCAGCAGUGAGGAAUAUUGGUCAAUGGCCGAGAGGCUGAACCAGCCAAAUCGCGUGAGGGAUGACGGUCCUAUGGAUUGUAAACCUCUUUUGUCAGGGAGCAAAGGGCGCCACGUGUGGCGCUUUGCGAGUACCUGAAGAAAAAGCAUCGGCUAACUCCGUGCCAGCAGCCGCGGUAAUACGGAGGAUGCGAGCGUUAUCCGGAUUUAUUGGGUUUAAAGGGUGCGCAGGCGGAAUGUCAAGUCAGCGGUAAAAUUUCGGGGCUCAACCCCGUGGUGUCGUUGAAACUGGCGGUGUUGAGUGCGCGAGAAGUAUGCGGAAUGCGU